rnacentral:rRNA from 1 species
AUUGAACGCUGGCGGCAGGCUUAACACAUGCAAGUCGAGCGGGGUGAUGGUGCUUGCACUAUCACUUAGCGGCGGACGGGUGAGUAAUGCUUAGGAAUCUGCCUAUUAGUGGGGGACAACAUCUCGAAAGGGAUGCUAAUACCGCAUACGUCCUACGGGAGAAAGCAGGGGAUCACUUGUGACCUUGCGCUAAUAGAUGAGCCUAAGUCGGAUUAGCUAGUUGGUGGGGUAAGGCCUACCAAGGCGACGAUCUGUAGCGGGUCUGAGAGGAUGAUCCGCCACACUGGGACUGAGACACGGCCCAGACUCCUACGGGAGGCAGCAGUGGGGAAUAUUGGACAAUGGGGGGAACCCUGAUCCAGCCAUGCCGCGUGUGUGAAGAAGGCCUUAUGGUUGUAAAGCACUUUAAGCGAGGAGGAGGCUCUUUUGGUUAAUACCCAGAAUGAGUGGACGUUACUCGCAGAAUAAGCACCGGCUAACUCUGUGCCAGCAGCCGCCGCAG